rnacentral:rRNA from 1 species
GGAUUUGUGGUGUGUCCAGUCGGCCUUUGCUCUUUGAGUGAUUGUGCUGUACUGGUCUGCCAUGUUUGGGUGGAAUCUGUGUGGCAUUAAGUUGUCGUGCAGGGGAUGCCCAUCGUUUACUGUGAAAAAAUUAGAGUGUUCAAAGCAGGCUUAUGCCGUUGAAUAUAUUAGCAUGGAAUAAUGAUAUAGGACCUUGGUACUAUUUUGUUGGUUUGCGCACUAAGGUAAUGAUUAAGAGGGACAGUUGGGGGUAUUUGUAUUCCAUUGUCAGAGGUGAAAUUCUUGGAUUUUUGGAAGACAAACUACUGCGAAAGCAUUUACCAAGGAUGUUUUCAUUAAUCAAGAACGAAAGUUAGGGGAUCGAAGAUGAUUAGAUACCAUCGUAGUCUUAACCAUAAACUAUGCCGACAAGGGAUUGGCGGAGUCUCGUUUCGUCUCCGUCAGCACCUUGUGAGAAAUCAUAAGUCUUUGGGUUCCGGGGGGAGUAUGGUCGCAAGGCUGAAACUU